GGUGCUUGUGGAAGUGUUUGGUUUGUAUACUGUGGGUUUAAUGCUAAAAAAUAAAGAUGAUAUAAUCAUAUUUCAGGGGCUUUAGGUCAACAGAGAGGUGGACAACAAUUCCUAUUACCACCCAUUGAGAAAUUUAGCUGAGAACAUUCACAGUUUUUGAUUCACUGUAAUAAAAAGGUUAACCAUAAAAUAAAAUUUAUGCUUACAAGGUUCAAGAUUAAAUCCAUGUCAGUGUAUUGUCUUAUUUACAGUCUAAGAACUUUGUUAAAGGCAAGUACUUGAACAAAGAAUUAUUUAUAGCGGCCCUCAUUUUUAUAUAGGUAAGAAGGCUUUUCCCCCCACCUUCAUAAUAUUCUAAAAUACUUGCAAUAUCAAAAGAAAAUAAUAGCUUGAGAUAUUAAUAGCAGAAAUGGUGACAUAAGAUAGACUGAUUCAAGUUGCCUAGCUAUGUGGUUCCUAACCUUUCUCAAACCGGAAAUGAGGGUCCCUUUCUCACUAAAAAAAUAUAUAUACUUUGAAAGAAAAAAUACACAAGGAUAAGCAGGAUACUAUAAGUAUACAUUUCUACCUUAUUAUUGUAACAAUACGUACAUUGGAAAAAUAGUAUUACAUUAGAGUUUAAGAAGCAUUUGCUUUUUGGCCUACAGUCAAUUCUUGUGCUUUGGAUUCAUGGACCUCCUGCAACAGCUCUGAGACCUCCCUGAGGGUUUGCAUCCAACAGUUUGAAUUCACUGGCAAAGACAAUUAUAUGAGAGAAUAAUUUCGUAAUGUUUAUUUCAGUGUGUUAAGAUCUAUAGCAUAAUAAUUUUUAAAGUAUAGCUUUGGCCAAUUGUUGACUUACACAGAAAUGAUUUCAUGCAGAAAAUGACUUUAGAAAAAAGUUUUACGUGCAGUAAAUAAGGUAGUUGAGCUAUGUGAAUUUUUCUAUUCUGUAGGUAUUAAAAUAAUUGUCUACUGUGAACAAGCAUUCAGUGUACAAAAUAUGUAAGACACGGUCCUAUACGCAAGGAACUUCUGUUAGAGCAGGGUUUCUUAAUCUGGGCACUAAUGACAUUCUUUGUUGUGGGCAGCUUUCCUGCACAUUGAAGGAUGCUUAGCAGUACCCUUGCCCUCUCCCCGCCAGAUGCCAGUAGCACCCUACCCCCCAAUUGUGACAAGUAAAAAUGUCUCUAGACAUUGCUAAAUUUCCCUUGGGGGCAAA